rnacentral:SRP_RNA from 1 species
GCUGGGCACAGUGGCGCGUGCCUAUAGUCCCAGCUACUCGGGAGGCUGAGAUGGGAUGUUUGCUUGAGUCCAGGAGUUCUGGGCUGUAGGGUGCUAUGCCGAUCAGGUGUCUGCACUAAGUUCAGCAUCAAUAUGGUGACCUCCUGGGAGCAGGGGACCACCAGGUUGCCUAAGGAGGGGGUGAACCGGCCCAGGUUGGAAAUGGAGCAGGUCAAAACUCCCAUGCUGAUCAGUAGUGGGAUCACACCUGUGAAUAGCCACUGCACUCCAGCCUGGGCAACAUAGCAAGACGCCCUCUCU